AAGCAGGAAAGGGAGAAAGCAGGUCAGGCCUGAGCUCCAGCAGCCAGCCCCUGAGGCCUCCUGGACUGGAGACAACCUGGGCAGCACUU
rnacentral:miRNA from 1 species